GGGGCAACUUGCUGCUGUAAAGUGUGGCCGGGCAUUCGAGGAUGUGCUGCAUCUUAAUGAGGCUGUUAACAUGCUGUCUGAGGCUCAGAGGACGUCAGACCGGUGUAAAAGCCUGUCAGCUCACCUGCCUCCCCACCACACCACUCGCCGGGAAUUCUGCUCAUUCUCGUUGGCAGUGGAAGGACGGUCUACAGAGCAAGUAAAGAAAAGGAAAGUGGGGGAAUAGUGUGGAGGGUUGCAGAGGAGCAGAGAGAGAAAGAAGGGGGUUUGGCUGAAGGGGAGGUAAAGGAGAGAGGGAGAAUCGGGAGGGUGUGGUAAUGAGAAAGGGCAGCAGAUGUGAGUGACAGUAUGAUGGAAUGCUCUGUGUGAUAGUCAUGCUCUCCAGACUGGGAGAUGUGUGUGUGUGUGAGAGAGAGUACAGUUACUGAGGGAUCAUUUGUGCAUGUUGUGUGUCCUUGGCUUUUAGGGGAAGGAUAUUUGAUAUAACGUUUGUGCAACAGUAUUCAUCACAUAAUAGCCCCUCAAUGUGCUCAUUAAACUUAAAUAUACCAAAAUCCUACACAUAAAGCCCCAUUAUGCCCUUUUGUUGUACAGUUAAUGUUAAUCGUAAUAAUAUUGGCUUUGAUUAGCCUCUCAUUCACUCUCUUGCCAAGAGUUAGAUGAGAAGAUUGAUACCACAUCCACACCUGUAUGCUAAAUAUGGAGCCUUACCGCCAGCAGCCAGGUAAUCCUGCUCAGCACAAAGACUAGAAGUAGAGAGGCAGCCAGCUCUAUCCAAAGAUAAUAAAAUAAACGCUAAUGAGUGGUUCAAAAACUCACUAAUUUCACACAUUGCUUUUUAAAAAAAUAUCCACCCACCUGCCCUCCCAACAAACUAACGUGUCAACAUGAUGGAUGAUGGAAAGUGAUGGAGGACAGAUUUUUGCUAAAUUUGGAAAGAAGCUGUCAUGAUAUCAGAUUUUCAUUUCGGAAUUAGUGUGGCCAAAAGAAUUCACAAUAAUGAUAUUGUCAGAAUAUCUACAGAAAAUCAGAAAUAAUUAACCAGAAAAAAACGUUUACAUUUUUAAAAUCUUUAUCAUUUAUUGCAAAUGAAUUGCACUACAAAUGGCAUAUAAUGAAGUGUCAGGCAGAAAACUAUUGGCACUAGAAUAUUUAUGAUGCCAUAUCUGUAUUCUUAUUAUUAUUAUUGAAUUUAUUUAUUUUAUUUUAACACUGUGGUUAUUGUCUGUAUUAACAUAUCAUAAAACCCACUCCAGCUGUGUGUUUUUUCCAGUCUUUGUGACAAUCCACCUUUUUGGUUAUAGCCUUUUAUUUACUAUAUGUGCUAAUUGCCACAAAAACUGAAGUGUAACAAUAGUCUGUUCUGGUGUUACAGAGGCUCCCAUGCAGGACUAUUUGCUGGUUUGCAGUCUUUAUGCUAAGCUAUGCUAAUGGAUGUAUGGCGUGGGCUGCUGCUGCAUAUCUAACAGACUGAUGUCUGACUGUUCUUCAGGUUUUCCUCACACUCGCAGCAACAUAUUUUCCAGAAUAUCAAAAUAUUCCUUUGAAUUCCUCGGUUUCAAAUGUCAAUUACAGUUCCUUGUAAGGGCUGCCGAAUGUCAUUUAUGUGAAUUGGCAUCUCAAAGAGUAACAAAAUAUGAAAAGCAAAGAGAAAUUACAUCCCACAAACUCGAUCGGUUUCUAACUUAUCCUUAUUCGGGGGACAUUAACUGCAUACAGACAAAUUUAUAGAUUCAAUUUAUGAACACAAUGCUCCCCUGAGCACAAGCCUGGUCCAGUUUUCUUCAAUCAAUGAAACAAAUUUGUGUUUUAGACGUUGCAUCAUGCUGCUUCCAAAGCACCAAUAUAACUGUGGUACAUGGUUUUCCAAUAGCAGUCAAAAACCAAAUUGUCUCAGUCUCUGCGGGUGCACAGCAGUUUGAUAUAGUCCCUGUUGGAGAACAUGGUGAAAUUGUAAUAGACUUUAUUCCUAGUAAGGAUGAGACAAGGUUGUGUUUGGGCUGCACACAGCACUUGGCUGUCUGUACGGCUGAGUUAUUCUGCCAUUUUUCAGCACAUGCACAUUCCUCCACUCAUUGGUAUUCCUGUUCAUAUUACCCUCCUCAAUCAGCAGCAGAGAAGCUCUGAUUAAUGGCAACUGUGAGAGCAAUCUCCCAGUGAUUCAUUAAACAGGACUGGCAUGAAUAAAAAGGAAGAUUUGCUCAUAUUGGCUCUCAGAUCCCAUAAUAUGUUCUGUCGCUAGAAGAAAAAAAAAGUGUAAUUCAUGGUGUUGUUAGUGGCUCUUGACAUAUCCACAUGUACUGCACAUGUGUGAAAUAAAUGGAAAAAUCAAAUUACUGAUCAUCAUUACAUCAGAUCAUAGUUGGAAUAAUUGAUGUUUCGUGUUUAAGUUUGGGUCUUUCGGUUUAUUCACCGCUCGCUUAACUCUUGCCCAAGUAAUUAAAAUGUAAUAGAUGUUAUUAUUGCUGUUUGACGGAUCAUCUCACCACUGGUACAUUUUGUGGUAAUCCAAGGCUUUGACACGUCGAGACAGAUAGAAGACUCGAUCUGUUUUGCAAACCAAAAGAAGCUCACUUAGCAGUGAAGACCUACUAUGUAUUCUGGUUAUUUGGAUAGUUUUCCUCAUCAAUAUGCCUGUAUUUCCUGACUAAAUUAUGAGCUGGAUAAUUGAUUAAAUCCAAAAUAUCUUGCAGGUGAUUAAGCUGAUUUCUUUUUUUUACUGAAUUCAGAUAAGCAGAUGUGUAAAUGCUGCGGUUUCUUUAUACGCUGCAGCGAAAUUUUAGUCACAAGUUUAGUGAGCAAGUUUAUUCAAUUGACAAUGAAAGGUUGUCAAUAUGAUUUCAAUUUAUAAAAGUGUAAUUUUUCUCACUUUUAGUCGCAAUUCAAUGAAGUUAAAAGUCUGCCAAUCACUAUCAUAUCAAGAACUGUGAGCUAGCAUAAGGUAAAAACAGCUAAUGUGUGUUUAGGUGCCAUAGGUUACGUUUGCUGGAAAACACUGCUCGUCUUAUAGCCUGAUUGGGAAGCCAAAAGAGACAUCCUCAGAGCCCAGACCGCUCUCACUAGACAAAACCCAUCUCUUGAAAAUCACCUCAGUGCUCCCAUCCACCAUAUUAUCAUGGAUUGAUUUCUAUCAAACAUUAUCCCUGCAAAUGUGCAUGAACAUGGGCCAUCAGGCGAGUGUCAUUACUGCUGCUCAUUUGCGAGGUAAGAGACGAUCGGAUGUGACAGGGGCGGAAUUAGCUUUGUGUUGGCUCUCUGUCACUCUCAUCCUAAACUGCUGCUUGGUGGGGGAGUAUGAUUAAAAGGAUAUAUAAUGCCACCCUGCACAUUAAAGGCCCCGUGCCCCACUUUCCCUCCCACCUAUACUGCCGAGCGCGCAAAGGCCGCACUUGUGUAGUGCACGAUGCUGCAAUGGAAGCCUCCCCAUUUCUUCUGCCUUUCUUCUUCAAGGUGAUUGCUGAUCUCAGUGAUAAAAUGGAUGAAAGCAUCCAGGUGGAAAGCCAAUCAUAUAGGGAUCCUUGUAUUGCUUUUUCAUUACAGCACACCUACAUGAAAUGGAUGUAGCAGAUGGUGUAACAGAGCUGAGGCCAUGUUUCUUUACACUGGCUCUAUAGUGGUGUCUUUUGCGCUGUGACAGUCUGAUCUCUCAUUGAGCAGCGUCAAAAAUCAAUAGGCUCUGACCUUACCUCUGUCAGAGCCAGUGUUGGAGACCCCAACACACAGAUCAGGACACAGUUUGUCUUCCACUGUCUCAGUAAAAGCACCAGUUGACUGCUAAGGCUAAUCUGCGGCAGUUGAGUGCUUAUGGCUUGUAGAUUUUAACUAGUUUCAGCAAUCUUAGCGUUUAAUUUAUAAAGUAUUGAUGCUAAUAUGUUUACACAGAGAGUAUUAUUUCAGCUUUAUUGCGAUAUAUCCGAAUUUAAUUAUAAUUUACAUAUAUCUUUAAGAGUAAGAUGCUAAAUGCUAUGUAGCUAUGCUAAUGGCAUGGUCGAACACUUUGGUUAACUCUCCUGUUGUCUUCAUUUAGGGGCACCAAGAAAUAUAGUUUCCUUGUCUGAAAAAAAAAUUCAGCUAAAAAAUUCCCCAAAUUUCUGAAGAUUUGCCAAACCUUCAGGAAGAAAAUUCCAAUAAUUCCUUAAAAGUUUUAAAAAAUGUAUUUUAUAAAAAAUCCCCCAAAUUUGGUAAGAGAAUUCUUGUAAAUAUUUUCUAAAAAAUGAGUAAAAAUCUUCCAAAAAAAAUCCUAAAAAUAUCUAAAGUGAUUCCAUAUAUAUCAGCAAAACGUCCAAUAUUUUCUUUAAGAACAUUCACACAAAAAACGACCAAAAUCCAGUGAAAUUUGCUGGAUUUUGGUUGAUUUUUUUGGGGAAUGUUCUUAAGAAACCUUUUUUUCAAUGUUUCUUUUUUUUCCACCAAAAAAAUGUUAAAAAAUUUCCCAAAAAUGUUGAAAAUGUGGACAUCAGAAGUUUCACUGUGAAAACUGUUUAUUUUCUCCACAUUUUCAAACUUUAAAACUGGUCAGUUUGACCUGCAGAACAACACAAGGGUUAAGACUGCAUUUUCUAAACAGCAACACUGGAUAGAUUCCUCGAAAUGUUGACCAGACAUUGAUGCUCCCAAGAUAUUAAAUGUCUUUGUUGAUCCCUUUAAUUUUUUUUAUAGUGCCACCAUGAGGUAGUUUUAAAGAAUCAGAAGAAAUAGAAUUACUGUCACUAUUGCCAAGUAGAUUUUCACAUAUGAGGAGUUUGAGGUGGUGUUUUGGUGCGUAUACAGCAGGACAUUUUUAAAGAAGCAUGAACAGGUUUUUAACAAACAAGUGUUGCAAGUCAGAUAAACAGCAAGUGGUGUGUCUCGAUGGAUUGGUGUAGACAUUUAUGUUUCCCUCAAGCUGAAAUGUAAAGAUUUUGGUGGUCCCUUAAUAUUUCAUUUAGUGUCAUCAUUGGGUCAGUGCUUUAAUUUCUAACACUUCAGUUAAUGACCAAAUACCUGCAAAACAGAAACACAUUACCAUGGACCCCAUCUGUAGUUUAGAAAUGCAGAUACAUAGCUUGGUACACUUGCUCAGGUAUUACAGUGAAGUACAGUUUCGAGGUACUUGUACUUUAAUAUGGGAAUUAUUUAUGAGCAGUGAACACACCGAGACCCAAAGAGGAAGAAUCCGCUCAGAUGGGGUGCCUGAAGUUCUGGCCGGCAAAACGGGCCUUGGCGCCGAGCUCCUCCUCAAUCCUGAGAAGCUGGUUGUAGUUACUCAGAUUUUCAGGUUGUAGAUAGAGGUGUGCCACAAAGUUCCUCGCUUGGCCCUCUUUUGUUCACAAUUUUUAUCAAUCAUCUCCCUCUUACUUGCACAGAUUGUAAUAUUCAACUUUACGCAGACGAUACUGUAAUUUACUGCUCAAAAUCUGACAUUACUGAAAUUCAACAAUCACUUCAACAUGACUUUGAUGCAGUGCAGUUAUGGCUUCAAAAUAAUAAACUUUUACUCAACCAAAAAAAUCUCAUUCAAUGUUAUUUCGGUGGAAUAACAUUUGUACCACUGCCCGUGAACUUGAUCUCACAUAUUUAGAUACAACUCCAAUUAUACCAUUAGAGCAAGUAAAUUAUUUAGGUCUCAUGCUUGAUUCCACUCUCUCUUUUAAUUCUCAUGUUAAUUCUAUUACAAACAGAAUCUUAUAUCGUUUUAAAUUACUUUACCGUUCAAUUAAUUGCUUCAGUUUUUCUGUUCGAGAACGUAUUAUUACUCAAUUAUUACUUUCUAUUUUAGAUUUUGGUGAUAUAAUUUAUCAAAACACCACGCUUAACAUUUUACAGCCACUUAAUGUUGUAUAUAACAGUCUGUGCAGGUUUAUCCUUCGCUGCCCCUUUAGAACCCACCAUUGUCAAAUGUAUCAAUAUUUGUCCUGGCUUACUCCAUCAUCUAGAAGGCAAUUCCACUGGUUACUUUUUAUAUUCAAAUGUAUUCACUUCAAGUGCCCAGAUUAUUUAAAGCAAUAUUUAAUUCCAUUUAGAUCUUUAUAUAAUUUGAGACAUGUGUCUCAAAUAUACUUUGUUACUCCUAGGACCAAUAAAGCAAUUGGUAGACUCUCAUUUAGUUACAAAGCUCCCUCAGAUUGGAAUGAUCUUCCUACCUCUGUCCGCUCUAUAAUGUCCUUCAAUUUGUUUAAAAAUACUCUUGUGCAACAUUUUCAAAAUGUUUGUAAUUGUUUUUGAAUUUAAUUUUGCUCGUUGAAUGUGUUUAUCUAUGUAUGUGUGUAUGUGCAUUUUUUUUUAUAAUUUUGUACUAACUUAUUUUUCUUUAUUCAGCUAUUAUUAUUAUUAUUAUUAUUAUUAUUAUUUUAUUUAUUUAUUUAUUUAUUUUAACUUUGAGGAGAGUUAAUACCCUGUGGGAGUGUGUGUGGGGGUGUGAAUGUGUAUACGCAUGGUGUGUAUGUUGUGUGUGGUAGGUGUCUGCUUGUGUGUUGGAUGAAUUUAAAACUUUAUUUUAUCUGUUUUCACUUGUUGCAGUCUGUACUGUGCAAUGCAUGUACUGUCUCUGUCUUGUUAUUUUUUUUUAAUGAUUAGUACCCCCUCGAAAACGAGAUGAUUCAUCUCAAGGGGUUAUCCUGUGAAUAAAGAAUAAAGAAUA